rnacentral:rRNA from 1 species
AGGAUGAACGCUGGCGGCGUGCCUAACACAUGCAAGUCGAACGUCCUGUCUCGCAAGAGGCAGGGAGUGGCGGACGGGUGAGUACCACGUGGGUCAUCUACCGUGAGGUGAGGAAUACCGGCGAGAAAUCGCCGGCAAGACCGCAUAGCCUCGGUGCAAGUCGAGGAAAGCUCUCUCGAGAGAGGGAGCGCCACACGAGGAGCCUGCGCCCGAUUAGCUAGCUGGUGGAGUAAUGGUUCACCAGGGCGACGAUCGGUAGCUGGUCUGAGAGGACGAUCAGCCACACUGGGAUUGAGAACGGCCCAGACUCCUACGGGGGCAGCAGUGAGGAAUUUUCGUCAAUGGGGGCAACCCUGAACGAGCAACGCCGCGUGCAGGAGAAGGUUUUCGGAUCGUAAACUGCUUUUCUCGGGAAGAGAACGGACGGUACCCGAGGAAUCAGCCUCGGCUAACUACGUGCCAGCAGCCGC